rnacentral:lncRNA from 1 species
CUAAUCAUAACCAUAUUGAUGGUGAUGGUGGUGCAUGGUGUAAUAAGGUCUGCUGCUGGUGCGACUAAGAUUCAAGAGAUCAUCCAUCUAUCUGUGCCAUUGAAAUUUCUGAUUUUCCCACCAACUUUUCUUUCUAUUCGGAUAUAGAAUUAAAAUGAGAAUUGAAUGAACUACAGACUAAGAGAGAGAGGCGUGGGAAGUGGUGGCCUUGUGGGUGUGUG